UGGGGGAUAUUGCACAAUGGGCGAAAGCCUGAUGCAGCGACGCCGCGUGGGGGAUGAAGGCCUUCGGGUUGUAAACUUCUUUUGCUCUGAACAAGGCAUGCUAAUGGGUGUGUUGAGUGUAGGGGUUGAUUAGCGCGGGCUAACUACGUGCCAGCAGCCGCGGUAAUACGUAGGGCGCGAGCGUUGUCCGGAAUUAUUGGGCGUAAAGGGCUUGUAGGUGGCUGGUUGCGUCUGUCGUGAAAGCUCAUGGCUUAACUGUGGGUUUGCGGUGGGUACGGGCUGGCUUGAGUGCAGUAGGGGAGGCUGGAGUUCCUGGUGUAGCGGUGGAAUGCGCAGAUAUCAGGAGGAAUACCGGUGGCGAAGGCGGGUCUCUGGGCUGUUACUGACACUGAGGAGCGAAAGCAUGGGGAGCGAACAGG
rnacentral:rRNA from 1 species